UCCCUGGUGGUCUAGUGGUUAGGAUUUGGCACUCUCAUUGCCAUGGCCUGGGUUUGAUUCUUGGUCAAGGAC